rnacentral:rRNA from 1 species
AUUUCCGUAGGUGAACCUGCGGAGGGAUCAUUACCGAGUUUACAACUCCCAAACCCCUGUGAACAUACCACUUGUUGCCUCGGCGGAUCAGCCCGCUCCCGGUAAAACGGGACGGCCCGCCAGAGGACCCCUAAACUCUGUUUCUAUAUGUAACUUCUGAGUAAAACCAUAAAUAAAUCAAAACUUUCAACAACGGAUCUCUUGGUUCUGGCAUCGAUGAAGAACGCAGCAAAAUGCGAUAAGUAAUGUGAAUUGCAGAAUUCAGUGAAUCAUCGAAUCUUUGAACGCACAUUGCGCCCGCCAGUAUUCUGGCGGGCAUGCCUGUUCGAGCGUCAUUUCAACCCUCAAGCACAGCUUGGUGUUGGGACUCGCGUUAAUUCGCGUUCCCCAAAUUGAUUGGCGGUCACGUCGAGCUUCCAUAGCGUAGUAGUAAAACCCUCGUUACUGGUAAUCGUCGCGGCCACGCCGUUAAACCCCAACUUCUGAAUGUUGACCUCGGAUCAGGUAGGAAUACCCGCUGAACUUAA